AGUCGACGGCAGCACAGGGAGCUUGCUCCCGGGUGGCGAGUGGCGCACGGGUGAGUAAUACAUCGGAACGUGUCCUGUUGUGGGGGAUAACUGCUCGAAAGGGUGGCUAAUACCGCAUGAGACCUGAGGGUGAAAGCGGGGGAUCGCAAGACCUCGCGCAAUUGGAGCGGCCGAUGCCCGAUUAGCUAGUUGGUGAGGUAAAGGCUCACCAAGGCGACGAUCGGUAGCUGGUCUGAGAGGACGACCAGCCACACUGGGACUGAGACACGGCCCAGACUCCUACGGGAGGCAGCAGUGGGGAAUUUUGGACAAUGGGGGCAACCCUGAUCCAGCCAUGCCGCGUGCAGGAUGAAGGCCUUCGGGUUGUAAACUGCUUUUGUCAGGGACGAAAAGGAUCGUGAUAAUACCAUGGUCUGCUGACGGUACCUGAAGAAUAAGCACCGGCUAACUACGUGCCAGCAGCCGCGGUAAUACGUAGGGUGCAAGCGUUAAUCGGAAUUACUGGGCGUAAAGCGUGCGCAGGCGGUUCUGUAAGACAGAUGUGAAAUCCCCGGGCUCAACCUGGGAAUUGCAUUUGUGACUG
rnacentral:rRNA from 1 species